UGGUUCAGUCCAGUAACAAGAAGCUCGUUAAGGUUGAAUGUUUUCACAGCCGAUCGAUUUGUCCCAGCGGCACGGGCGCGCUUGCAUUUUAUUGUCAAAAGUUAGAUGUUGAUUUUAUGAAUUGACGAGCAAUCUGUGUGUUCUUUACUAAUAUAGUCUAUGAGUAAACAUUUUAUUCUUGAGUGUUUGAUGAGCUAAAUAAGUUUGAUAUUAAACAUUAAAAGACGAGACGAAUGCCAGGAUGGCCCGUCAACUCGCGACAAUCAGGUCUUGAUGUCAAAUAACAGCCAAUCGAUCGCUAAUUUGGUGACGAAAAGCGAAGUUCGGUGUCGUCGGAAGCCUCAAACGUCGCGUUGACGACAGUUCGUCAGCUGCUGGGUUCCCAAGUUGGUUAGCAUGCCUAGCUAACCGGCUAGCUCGCCUUCUUCGAGUCACUCGGGCGGGCCUCCCUCCGCGGCCCGGUUCCGUCCGGGCCCGCGUGACACUUUGUCCUACGAACUUUGGCUCCAGUUCGACGAGCGGCGACGCCAUUCGGACGAGUAACGGUUAGCAUGCUAGCUGGCUAGUGAGAAAGCGGCUUACGGCGCGAACCGGCAGAACCGGAACCAGCCACCUCCGGUAGUGCCUUACCUUUCUUUCGGACCGGCAUGGCGCCUCCGGUUCGGCUCCGCUCGGAGGCCGGCCGGGCGGGCAGGACGGGUUCGGCGGCGGCUCGGAGGAGAACGUCGCCGUCCUGACGACACCAACUAAGUAAGUGGAGAACUCUGACUCGACUGGGAGGGACCCGUCCCCAGUCCCUCGUCCCACCGGCACAAGUCCAAAUAGUCCCGGCCUCCACCCACCAGCAGCACCACCAACCCAGUCCCGGACUGGACUGGACUGGACGGUACCACUGUGAUGGCUGGGCUAGCCAAAGAUCCGAACCACGUACACGCAAGCGAGCGAGCACAGGUUAGGUUGAGCCGAGCCGAGCGGCUCCCCGCCCAGUGUGCGUGUGCUGGCCAAAGGAGAAAAGAAAACGAAAAGAAACAACCAAAACUUGAUGAGGAUCAAGUGGAAUGACGCGCGCGCGCGCCCCCCCCACUGCACCUCGUGCACGCGCUUGCUUUGCGUUCGUGUCAAAGUUGGGCGAGUAAAUUCCCUCCUCCUCCUCCUCCUCGGGCAUUUCCAAACUUGACAGAAUUGUAGUUUUAGUCUUCAACCUUCAUCAGCAUCGACGCCGCUUACAGCUAACAUCAAACAGUAUUACAAGUGUAAAAAGAAGUCAAGAAAGAGUCCAUUCACUGCUCCGAAUGUGAUGUCACUUCCUGCAUUUCUUCUUCUCUCGACAGGCUUCAGUGAGGAUGCUACUUGUUUUGGAAAAAGCAAAACACAUGGCAGAGAUAACCCUUUGAUGCUCACUGAGCUGAACUCUUGUGAAGGCUGCAGAAAAAUAGCCGUGUAGAAAAUGGACGGAUGGACCGAAAGAAAAGUAAUAUACAGUUCAGCGUUUUGAAAAUCACCUCGUCGUCGUCAUCGUCGUCGUCUGCCGCCCGCUUUGUGCCGCCCUCCAGCUCGUCGUCAUCGUCCUCCUCGUCUUCCUCGUCACCUGCGC